rnacentral:rRNA from 1 species
GAUGAACGCUGACAGAAUGCUUAACACAUGCAAGUCAUUGGCGAAGCUGCGCUUGCGCAGUCUAGCCAAGGCGGACGGGUGAGUAACGCGUAAGGAACUUGCCCUGCAGACAGGGAUAACAGACGGAAACGACUGAUAACACCUGGUAUUGUCAGGCUGGCGCAUGCCGGCCUGAUGAAAGGAGACGCUGCAGGAGAGCCUUGCGUCCUAUUAGCUAGUUGGUGGGGUAACGGCCCACCAAGGCGAUGAUAGGUAGCCGGCCUGAGAGGGUGAACGGCCACAAGGGGACUGAGAUACGGCCCUUACUCCUACGGGAGGCAGCAGUGGGGAAUAUUGGACAAUGGGGGCAAUCCUGAUCCAGCAAUUCUGUGUGCACGAAGAAGGUUUUCGGAUUGUAAAGUGCUUUCAGCAGGGAAGAAGAAAGUGACGGUACCUGCAGAAGAAGCGACGGCUAAAUACGUG